GUAAAAGGCCGCGGCAGGCGAAGAGAGAAGAGGUGAGGGCGGUCGUCAGCUAAGGGCCCCGGGGCUCGCGGGGGGUGCGCAGGGCAGACUAUCAAGAUCUCCACUUAGGGAAGUGGGAAUCUUAUUUGCGGAACAUUGGGCAGAAGCUUUGCCAUUGGCUGGUGGAGAAGGAGGAGGCAGAAUGUCUGCAUUGUUACACCAUACAGCUCAAACUUCAGAAGAUUUUGGGUUAAGCAGUUAUCAUUAGUCUGCAAAUGAUCGUGUUUUCACCUGAUCAUUAGAAACUAAUGAAACACCUUUUAAGUCUUAUGAAUUCAGGUUACACUGUUUUCCAGAUGCCUUGGCAGCUGGUACAGGGCCUCUGAAAAAUGGAACCAAAUUCUCUGAGGACUAAAGUCCCAGCUUUCUUAUCUGAUUUGGGGAAGGCCACAUUGAGGGGAAUCAGAAAGUGUCCCCGAUGUGGCACAUACAAUGGAACCCGGGGACUGAGCUGUAAGAACAAGACAUGUGGAACCAUAUUCCGCUACGGUGCACGCAAGCAGCCUAGU
rnacentral:lncRNA from 1 species